UACGGAGGGUGCAAGCGUUAUCCGGAUUUACUGGGUUUAAAGGGUGUGUAGGCGGACUUUUAAGUCAGGGGUGAAAUCCCGAGGCUCAACCUCGGAACUGCCUUUGAUACUAUUGGUCUUGAAUGUUGUUGAGGUGGGCGGAACGGGUCAUGUAGCGGUGAAAUGCAUAGAUAUGACCCGGAACACCGAUUGCGAAGGCAGCCUACUGGAGGUUAACAGACGCUCAGGCACGAAAGCGUGGGGAUCAAGCAGG
rnacentral:rRNA from 1 species